AUAUCAAUAAGCGGAGGAAAAGAAACCAACAGGGAUUGCCCCAGUAACGGCGAGUGAAGCGGCAACAGCUCAAAUUUGAAAUCUGGCCCCCAGGGCCCGAGUUGUAAUUUGCAGAGGAUGCUUUUGGCGCGGCGCCUUCCGAGUUCCCUGGAACGGGACGCCACAGAGGGUGAGAGCCCCGUCUGGUCGGACGCCAAGCCAGUGUAAAGCUCCUUCGACGAGUCGAGUAGUUUGGGAAUGCUGCUCUAAAUGGGAGGUAUAUGUCUUCUAAAGCUAAAUACCGGCCAGAGACCGAUAGCGCACAAGUAGAGUGAUCGAAAGAUGAAAAGCACUUUGAAAAGAGGGUUAAACAGUACGUGAAAUUGUUGAAAGGGAAGCGUUUGUGACCAGACUUGGGCCCGGCGAAUCAUCCAGCGUUCUCGCUGGUGCACUUCGCCGGGCUCAGGCCAGCAUCAGUUCGCCGCGGGGGACAAAAGCUUCGGGAACGUGGCUCCCCCGGGAGUGUUAUAGCCCGUUGCACAAUACCCUGCGGCGGACUGAGGUUCGCGCUCCGCAAGGAUGCUGGCGUAAUGGUCAUCAGCGACCCGUCUUGAAACACGGACCAAGGAGUCGUCUUCGUAUGCGAGUGUUCGGGUGUCAAACCCCUACGCGUAAUGAAAGUGAACGCAGGUGAGAGCUUCGGCGCAUCAUCGACCGAUCCUGAUGUUCUCGGAUGGAUUUGAGUAAGAGCAUACGGGGCCGGACCCGAAAGAAGGUGAACUAUGCCUGUAUAGGGUGAAGCCAGAGGAAACUCUGGUGGAGGCUCGCAGCGGUUCUGACGUGCAAAUCGAUCGUCAAAUAUGGGCAUGGGGGCGAAAGACUAAUCGAACCUUCUAGUAGCUGGUUUCCGCC
rnacentral:rRNA from 1 species